rnacentral:rRNA from 1 species
CAGCAGCCGCGGGAAUACGAAGGGUGCAAGCGUUACUCGGAAUUACUGGGCGUAAAGCGUGCGUAGGUGGUGGUUUAAGUCCGUUGUGAAAGCCCUGGGCUCAACCUGGGAAUUGCAGUGGAUACUGGGUCACUAGAGUGUGGUAGAGGAUAGUGGAAUUUCCGGUGUAGCAGUGAAAUGCGUAGAGAUCGGAAGGAACAUCUGUGGCGAAGGCGACUAUCUGGGCCAACACUGACACUGAGGCACGAAAGCGUGGGGAGCAAACAGGAUUAGAGACCCCCGUAGUCCCUGUCUCUUAUAA